CCUGGCUCAGGACGAACGUUGGCGGCGUGCCUAAUACAUGCAAGUCGAACGAGAGCGAGCUGUGCUUGCACUGGUCAAUCUAGUGGCGAACGGGUGAGUAACACGUGGGUAACCUGCCCAUCAGAAGGGGAUAACAUUCGGAAACGGAUGCUAAAACCGCAAAGGUCUUCGAACCGCAUGGUUUGAAGAGGAAAAGAGGCGCAAGCUUCUGCUGAUGGAUGGACCCGCGGUGCAUUAGCUAGUUGGUGAGGUAACGGCUCACCAAGGCCGUGAUGCAUAGCCGACCUGAGAGGGUGAUCGGCCACAUUGGAACUGAGACACGGUCCAAACUCCUACGG
rnacentral:rRNA from 1 species